rnacentral:rRNA from 1 species
GAUCCUACGGGAGGCAGCAGUGGGGAAUAUUGCACAAUGGGGGGAAACCUGAGGCAGCGACGCCGCGUGAGUGAAGAAGAAUUUCGGUAUGUAAAGCUCUAUCAGCAGGGAAGAAAAUGACGGUACCUGACUAAGAAGCCCCGGCUAACUACGUGCCAGCAGCCGCGGUAAUAAGUAGGGGGCAAGCGUUAUCCGGAUUUACUGGGUGUAAAGGGAGCGCAGACGGCUGUGCAAGUAUGGAGUGAAGGGCGGGGGGCCAA